AUUGGAUUGGACCCAGGUGUACAUCUUAAUCUGUCUGAGCGGAAAGAAGUGGGAGACUUUAAUUGCAAAUGAAGAUUAAUGUAACGUGAGGUCGGCUGGAUGAGGGUUUAGCUUUGAAUUUAAAUGACCCUGACUGCUUCCCCAAAAUUUGGACGAAAAUAUCUUUUCCUUCUCAGCGGCAGUGGUUCUGUGCACUGGUCUGGAGUCACUUUUCAUGAGGAACGUUGACGAACUUAUGAAAUAAGGGUUGAAAAAGUUCCAAGAGAGGUUGGCCAAAAAUAUUUUAAAUCCUAAAACACAAUUUUAAGCUUUGCUUUUCUUUAAAAUGUAUACAAAAUAAUGUGCAAAUAUGUAUAAUAUAUGGUUUGGAUCUGGUGUUAAUAUUUAAUCCCUACUUUCUAGAGCUGUGCUGCCUUUAAAUGUACCUAAAUUGAGAUGUACUGUAGUGUAAAAUACACACCAGAUUUCAAAGAUAUCAUAUGAAAUAAAGAAUGU